rnacentral:rRNA from 1 species
UACGAAGGAGGCAAGCGUUAUCCGGAAUUAUUGGGCGUAAAGAGUACGUAGGCGGCUUGUCAAGUCCCGGGUUAAAUCCCGCAGCUUAACUGCGGAUCGGCCUUGGAAACUGGCUUGCUGGAGUGUGGUAGGGGUAGCGGGAAUUCCUGGUGUAGCGGUGAAAUGCGUAGAGAUCAGGAAGAACACCUGUGGCGAAAGCGCGCUACUGGACCAUGACUGACGCUGAGGUACGAUAGCUAGGGGAGCAAAAGGG